AUUGAACGCUGGCGGCAGGCUUAACACAUGCAAGUCGAGCGGUAACAGGAGAAAGCUUGCUUUCUUGCUGACGAGCGGCGGACGGGUGAGUAAUGCUUGGGAAUCUGCCUGGUAGUGGGGGAUAACUUGCCGAAAGGUAAGCUAAUACCGCGUACGUCCUACGGGAGAAAGCAGGGGAUCUUCGGACCUUGCGCUAUCAGAUGAGCCCAAGCCGGAUUAGCUAGUUGGUAAGGUAAUGGCUUACCAAGGCUACGAUCCGUAGCUGGUCUGAGAGGAUGAUCAGCCACACCGGGACUGAGACACGGCCCGGACUCCUACGGGAGGCAGCAGUGGGGAAUAUUGGACAAUGGGGGGAACCCUGAUCCAGCCAUGCCGCGUGUGUGAAGAAGGUCUUCGGAUUGUAAAGCACUUUAAGUUGGGAGGAAGGGUUUCUGGUUAAUACCCGGGAAUUUUGACGUUACCAACAGAAUAAGCACCGGCUAACUUCGUGCCAGCAGCCGCGGUAAUACGAAGGGUGCGAGCGUUAUCGGAAUUACUGGGCGUAAAGCGCGCGUAAGUGGUUUGUUAAGUUGGA
rnacentral:rRNA from 1 species